GGGGCUGUAGCUCAGUGGUAGAGCGCUUGUCUUGCAGGUGUGAGGCACUGGGUUUGAUCCUCAGCACCA
rnacentral:tRNA from 1 species